rnacentral:rRNA from 1 species
GCAUAAUAACUUGCCCAUUAAUUGUGGGCUAGAAUGAAUGGAAAAACGAAGUAAUAGCUGUCUCUAAUAGUUUAAUAAAAAAUAAUAUUUUAGUGAAGAAGCUAAAAUAAAUUCACAGGACAAGAAGACCCUAUAGAGCUUUAUUUAUAAUAUACAAUAGUAGUAUAGAAAAAUUCAGUUGGGGCGACUAAGGAAGAAAUCAUCCUAAUUUUAUAAGAUACACAUAUCAAACAAAAGAUCCUAAAUAUAGAUCAAAGAAAUUAGCUACCUUAGGGAUAACAGGCUAAUUCUCCUGGAAAG